rnacentral:rRNA from 1 species
UACGGGGGGAGCAAGCGUUGUUCGGAUUUACUGGGCGUAAAGGGCGCGUAGGCGGCCACCGCAAGUCGGUUGUGAAAUCCCCGGGCUUAACCUGGGAAUGGCAAUGGAGACUGCAAGGCUAGAGUUUGGCAGAGGGGGGUAGAAUUCCGACGUGUAGCAGUGAAAUGCGUAGAGAUGUGGAGGAACACCGAUGGCGAAGGCAGCCCCCUGGGUCAAGACUGACGCUCAUGCACGAAAGCGUGGGGAGCAAACAGG